CCCUUAGAUGUUCUGGGCCGCACGCGCGCUACACUGAUGCAUUCAACGAGCCUAUCCUUGACCGACAGGUCCGGGUAAUCUUUGAAUCUGCAUCGUGACGGGGAUAGAUUAUUGCAAUUAUUAAUCUUCAACGAGGAAUGCCUAGUAGGCGCAAGUCAUCAGCUUGCGUCGAUUACGUCCCUGCCCUUUGUACACACCGCCCGUCGCUCCUACCGAUUGAAUGGUUUAGUGAGAAUUUUGGACUGGAACUCCCUUGCUCAGCAAUGGGCGAGGGGGAGUCCGGGAAGCUAUUCUAACUGUAUCAUUUAGAGGAAGUAAAAGUCGUAACA
rnacentral:rRNA from 1 species